AGGAGUGAAUCAAUCCCUAUGCCUUUAAAGGGUGGGAUGCAGGUGUGCAUGGAGUUAGGAGGCUGAUCAAUGGCUUCCGUCUUUGCCCUCUCCCAUCUGUGAUCUAUUCUAAGGGCCUUCUGGAGGGAGUGCUCAGGCACAGUCACACUGGGUGUUUCUUACCCCAGCCAUCUUGAGCUUGUAGACUGUGGAGGAUUGUAGAGCUUGUAGACUGUAGAUUGGUGCUCCCCUGCUACUGCGACCCCCCCACCCUUGAGGGUGAGGCAGAGUUGAAGGUGAAAAGUCAAUAUGUGGGGCAUGGAACCUUCUAGAAGAGCAGCUGAUGUUGUCUCUCCACUUCUCCAAGAUGAAAUUAUCACUGAAGUGAGUGAAGAAUGUAAUAGAUACGGUGCUCUCUAGAAGUGUCUACAGCUAUGGCUAAGGCACAGAAGACAGCUGGAACAUGCUUGUAGUGAGCUGAUGAAUACUGAAUGUCUACUUUGGGGAUUGGUCAAGUCUUGGAGUGAAUACCACCUGGGAUGGAGGCAGAAGGUUGAAACAGGAUGUCCAAACACAGUUAUGGUCUCUCUUCCCUGCUGACAUUGAAGGCAGCUCUUCUGCAUUUUGGGUUCUUUCUGCCCAGCAUGGUAGUCAGCCAACAGAGAGUGCUCCCACUUAACUGGAGAGGUAAAGGAGACUCAGCUCACGGCUCAGCCUUACCCUUGUUUAAUCCAACCUCAAAUAGUCAAGAUUUGACCCUUUUUAGGCCAUAGAAUUGACAGGAGCUGAUGACUGGUUAGAUAUAGGAAUAAAGGAGAGUCAACGAUGGUUAUGGCCAGCCCUGGUGAUCUAGCGGUUAAGAUUCCGUACUCUCACCACCGUGGCCUGGUUUUGUUUCCUGGCCAAGGAACUACACCAUGCAUCUGUUGGUUGUCAUACUACGGUGGCUACAUGCUGCUAUGAUGCUGAAAACUAUGUCACUGGCAUUUCAAACACCAGCAGUGUCACCAUGGUGGACAGGUUUCGGUGGAGUUUCCAGAUGAAGACAGACUAGGAAGAAGGAUCUGGCCACCCACUUCUGAAAAAAUUGGCCAUGAAAACUCUAUGAUUAGCAGUGGAACAUUGUCUGAUGUAGCACCAAAAGAAAGAAGGUGUAUGCCCUGGGGAAAUGAAAGAGACUCACAGCCCCUCUGCAAACCUGCAUCUCGGUAGCCUCUGUGGCUUCCCCACCUCACAGCGAGUUCGUUUCUUCUCCUCCACACCAGGGACAAUCAGUCCACUCUCCCUGUGGGCAGAUAUCUCAUCCCCGUGGGCAGUGUCGUGAAGAGCCUCUAGGCUGACGGAUGCAUUUGGGAACUCAUUCUAAAAUGAAGACGUGAUGGAGUUGAUGGGGAACACAUAGAACCGGGACAAGUCUCUGACUCAAGAAAUCAGUCUGCUGGGAAGGAUUCAUAGCAAUUGUGACUUUUUAAAAGCUGAGCUUGAAUAAUAAUUAUAAAAAGUUAUUGACAUAAUAAAAGAACAAAAGGACUUAUGUGAUGAGCAAUAGUUCCUGGCCUGCCCCUGCCCCUCACCCCCAGUUCUGCCCCUCCUCAUUCCCAAGGGCUUUACCUUUAACUGUUUCUGUUUUUGGUUACCUCUGGUGGUCAAGCCCAUGUUUCUAAAUAAAUACAGCACGCCGCCGUCAGUUCCUAUCGCCCCUUGCCCACCCCUCUUGCCCCUCCCAGUACAGCUGUAUCACUGCUUUUCCC
ensembl:lncRNA